UACGUAGGGUGCGAGCGUUAAUCGGAAUUACUGGGCGUAAAGCGUGCGCAGGCGGUUAUGUAAGACAGUUGUGAAAUCCCCGGGCUACAACCUGGGAAUUGCAUCUGUGACUGCAUAGCUAGAGUACGGUAGAGGGGGAUGGAAUUCCGCGUGGUAGCAGUGAAAUGCGUAGAUAUGCGGAGGAACACCGAUGGCGAAGGCAAUCCCCUGGACCUGUACUGACGCUGAGACGCGAAAGCGUGGGGAGCGAACAGG
rnacentral:rRNA from 1 species